rnacentral:rRNA from 1 species
AACGAACGCUGGCGGCAUGCUUAACACAUGCAAGUCGAACGGAAACGCCCUGUCUUUUUGGGGUGCUCGGCGGACGGACGGGUAAGUAACCCGUGAGUACCCUGUACUUGCCUGUAAGAUAACUUAAGGAAAGUGAGUAUCAUACGGGAUAGGAGCUCCUGCUGCUUGGUGGGGGCUGGAAAGUUUCGCCGGUUGGGGGUGGACCGGCGUGGGAUCAGCUCGAUGGUUGGGUGGUGGCCUACCAAGGCGUGGAACGGUAGCCGGCCAGAGAGGGUGAGCGGACACACUGGGACUGAGAAACGGCCCAGACUCCUACGGGAGGGAGGAGGGGGGAAUAUUGGAAUAUGGGCGGAAGGCUGAACCAGCAAGGCCGGGUGAGUGAUGAAGGCCUUAGGGUUGUAAAGCUCGUUUACCCGGGAUGAUAAUGACGGUACCGGAAGAAUAAGCACCGGCUAACUACGUG